GUCCGUAGGUUGGGGGUUCUUUUGGUGUUGGCCUGUCGUCUUAUUUUUUACUACGUUGCUCUAGCCAAAAUUUAAACAACGUGACAAAACACU
rnacentral:antisense_RNA from 1 species